AAGGUUAGGAAGGAACUCAAUUUUUUAAUUUAAUCAUUUGGAUAUUCCGAACACCUCAACCAUCUCCGGUGGCUCCUUUCCCAAAACCAUAGCUUUUUUCUCAAAUUCAGUCAGUUUCAACCUCACCCAUGUCCGGAUUUUAUAGACAAACUCCCUCAAUUUUCUUCCAUAGACGGAAAACUCAUAGAGAAAUCCGAGCUGGUGGAGGCCUAAAGCUCUGCAUAGACUGUCGAUGAACUUCUUAAGCCGUUUAAAGACAGAUAAUCCGAUUUUGUGGAGAGGGUUCUUGAAUUGUCUUCCUUGAAGAUUGGUCUGAUAAUUGAUCGAGAUGUUAUGUCCUUCGAGCUAUUUUACUCUCCAGACAAGUGGUUGGAUCUGAUGACACUUCUCACUCUGGGCAGGUAAUUUCUUUGAAAGUCUUUGAAGUUAAGGGAGCGAUAACGUGGAGGGUUGGCUUCGUUUAUCAUACAUUUUGCUGGUUCCAUCGUUGCUUCAUCUUUUGGAUAAACUAGAUAUGUUAAGCUUUGUCGGGAUGUUUUCGAAUUCGUCACAGCUCGGUGUUCUGCUGCUUGUAGCUUCCCAUUGGUAAUUAUCUACAUAAAACCAUCAAAUACUUGGUAAUGCUUCCAAUAGUAAUGUUAUUUUAGCAAUGUAGUUAUGGAAGAACACUUGUCUACAUGGAAGUAGUUUGUGUGCUUA